rnacentral:rRNA from 1 species
UACGGAGGGGGCAAGCGUUGUUCGGAUUUACUGGGCGUAAAGGGUCCGUAGGUGGCUGCAUAAGUCUGGUGUGAAAUCUUCGCCGCUUAACGGGAAGAAGCCACUGGAAACUGCGUAACUUGAGUAUGGUAGAGGCAAGCGGAAUUCCUGGUGUAGCGGUGGAAUGUGUAGAUAUCAGGAAGAACAUCUGUGGCGAAGGCGGCUUGCUGGGCCAUUACUGACACUGAGGGACGAAAGCGUGGGGAGCAAACGGG